UAAAAAAUCACCUCUGAAGUUUUGUUUUCUUUUUUUCUUUUUUUUUCUAAUGUGUGUAAAAAAUUUACAAAGAUGAAGUUCGGGUUUUUAUAGUCGGAUUAAACAACUCUUUGUUUCUAUUUUUUUGUUUGUUUCUGCUUGGUUCUUCUGCUGUUUUGCAUUAAUUUCUCUCUGCAGGUGUCAGAGGCGUGCGAUGCGCGUGGAGGUGGCUAGCGUGCGGUGGCCAAGAGCAGGCCUAAGGGCGGCGGCCAGCAGCGGACCUAGGUGCAGUGCACCUAAGGUUAGGAGAAUUAGGGUUUUUCUGAUAAUGUUGGGUUUAGGCUAUUGGGCUAGGGUAGUUGGGCUUAAGUUUGUUUAAUUUUAUUUAGGCUGAGGUCUGUAAUAGUUUGGGUUUUAAUUUUUAUUUGGGUUGUCUGAUUUGGGCUUCAGGUUUUUUAUUAUUUAUUUGGUUUUGUUUGAGUAUUAUUGGGCCCCGGACAAAAAUAGGCCAUUACAGGCUGGUAAUGGGAUAUGGGGUGCAGAUGAAUAGUUAUGUUGCAGAGGUUUUUCUCUGCGGAAGCCAUUGCUUGCAUCCAAGCACUUCAGUUUGGAUAGAUCUGAAAUUGGUGUGCUUAUAUAAGAAAUCUUAUCUUUAGAUCUAACUUUUCACUUUAUUUCAUUUUGACAUGCAGAUAGAUCAGUAAACACUGUAGCCCACAAGUUAGCAACAACGGGGUUUACAAAGGGAAACACUAUGUUCUAGGUUGAAGAUGUACCUGAAGACAUACUGGAGGUGGUGCAUCAUGAUAUGGCCCUUUAGUUUCUUCCACCAUGAUCCAUUACAUCAAUCUUUUCUGCUUCAUAUCAGGGAAUGAUGAACUCAACUUUACCAUUGGAUCGCCUUGUUGGUUUGAGGGCCCAUUUUGCUUCCUCACAUGAGAACUGGAAUCGUCAUCUUUGGUUUCGCCGAGGCUCAUUUUACUUUUUUGCUUUUUUUUUUUGUGUUUUGUUUCAGUCAGUUUCAUAUUUGCUGUUUGUUUUAUUGCUUGUUUUGAGUACAACUGUGGGAAGAGUUCCAGAGUGUGAAGGGGACAGGGACACGUGGUUGGUUGAUGUUUUUGUAUCUGCUUUUUGUUUUGAUCCAUUAAUGAAGUCUCGGU
rnacentral:lncRNA from 1 species